rnacentral:rRNA from 1 species
UACAGAGGGGGCGAGCGUUGUUCGGAUUUACUGGGCGUAAAGGGCGCGUAGGCGGCCUGCUAAGUCGAACGUGAAAUCCCCGGGCUCAACCCGGGAACUGCGUCCGAUACUGGCGGGCUUGAAUCCGGGAGAGGGAUGUGGAAUUCCAGGUGUAGCGGUGAAAUGCGUAGAUAUCUGGAGGAACACCGGUGGCGAAGGCGGCAUCCUGGACCGGUAUUGACGCUGAUGCGCGAAAGCCAGGGGAGCAAACGGG